GACAGAGGGUGCGAACGUUGUUCGGAAUUACUGGGCGUAAAGCGCGUGUAGGCGGCAGCGCAAGUCGGGCGUGAAAUCCCACGGCUCAACCGUGGAAGUGCACUCGAAACUGCGCAGCUAGAGUCCUGGAGAGGAAGGUGGAAUGCUUGGUGUAGAGGUGAAAUUCGUAGAUAUCAAGCGGAACACCGGUGGCGAGGGCGGCCUUCUGGACAGUGACUGACGCUGAGACGCGAAAGCGUGGGGAGCAAACAGG
rnacentral:rRNA from 1 species